UACGGGGGGUGCGAGCGUUGUCCGGAAUCACUGGGCUUAAAGGGCGCGUAGGCGGGCGGGCAAGCCCGGGGUGAAAUCUUUCGGCUCAACCGGAAAAGUGCCUCGGGGACUGCUCGUCUGGAGUGAGGUAGGGGCCGCGGGAACUUCCGGUGGAGCGGUGAAAUGCGUUGAUAUCGGAAGGAACGCCGGUGGCGAAAGCGCGCGGCUGGCCCUCAACUGACGCUGAGGCGCGAAAGCUAGGGGAGCGAACGGG
rnacentral:rRNA from 1 species